GGCGGCGCUCCGCGUGUGAAACGGCGCUCAGAAAUGAACGGCGACACAGUGGCUUCAUUGUUCGGCGGCGGGGGAAACUGAGGCCGGAGGGCGGCCGCCGGGUGACUGGAGGCUGGGUCACCACGCUCCCAGAGUGAAUGGGCAUUGGUCAGUGGGGCUUGCGGCCCUAUCUCCCCAGGGAGGGAGAAGAUCUGGGGAGGCAUGCCCCCAUCCCCAAGCCAAUGAGCUCCGGAAGCUCCUCCUGGAAAAGCUAAUUAUUGAGGUAGGAAAGAAGGAAGGAAGGGACUGUCAUUAAAAACACAAGGGAGAGAAUGGUUCUUGUAUAUUGUGAUGCUGAUUAGACUCCUUCCUCCCUCCGUCCCUUCUUUCCCCCUCCUUCCUUCCUUCCUUCCUUUUUUCCUCCCUCCCUCCCUCCCUCUUCCCUUCCCUUCCUUCGUUCCUUCCUUCCUCAUUUCCUCCCUCCCUCCUUCCCUUCCCUCUCCCUUCCCUUCCCUUCCCUUCCUCAUUCAUAGCUAGAACAUUCCAGACCCAAACACUGCAGUCUGGGUGGCAAUUUUUAACAGAAAUGUAGACCAAUUGAGGCUCCCAAAGGAGGGUGACCAUGAGCUGGACGUCCUGUCCUGGGAUGAUCACCUGACAGAAGAGAGAAUGUUCAGUUGAUAGGAGAGAGGGUGAAGGAGGAUGCAGGAAGGUGUUCAAGGAGGGCUGGCAGGUGGAAUUAGAUUACAUUUGUUAUGCAGCUGCUGAAGGUAAGAGUAGGAUCAAUAGGUAGACAUUAGGACAGGCACAGUGGCUCAUGCCUGUAAUCCCAGCACUUUGGGAACAGGAGACAGGAGGAUGACUUGAGGCCAGUUCAAAACUAGCUUGAGCAACAUAGGG
rnacentral:lncRNA from 10 species